UACGGAGGGUGCAAGCGUUAUCCGGAUUCACUGGGGUUAAAGGGUGCGUAGGUGGGCAGGUAAGUCAGUGGUGAAAUCUCUGGGCUUAACCCAGAAACUGCCGUUGAUACUAUCUGUCUUGAAUAUAGUGGAGGUGAGCGGAAUAUGUCAUGUAGCGGUGAAAUGCUUAGAUAUGACAUAGAACACCCAUUGCGAAGGCAGCUCGCUACACUAUUAUUGACACUGAGGCACGAAAGCGUGGGGAUCAAACAGG
rnacentral:rRNA from 1 species